rnacentral:rRNA from 1 species
CCCUUAGACGUUCUGGGCCGCACGCGCGCUACACUGACGAAGGCAACGAGCUACUCUUCACCGAAAGGUGUGGGUAAUCUUUUGAAACUUCGUCGUGCUGGGGAUAGAUCCUUGCAAUUUUUGAUCUUAAACGAGGAAUUCCUAGUAGGCGCAAGUCAUCAGCUUGCGUCGAUUACGUCCCUGCCCUUUGUACACACCGCCCGUCGCUCCUACCGAUUGGGUGUGCUGGUGAAAUGUUCGGAUCGGCCGUUUGUCGCGGUUUCCGCGUCAUGUGGCUGAGAAGUUCAUUAAACCCUCCCACCUAGAGGAAGGAGAAGUCGUAACA